CGUGCUAGGCGGGGAGAUAGCGGUGCCUUGAACUCGCAAUCCGCUCUAGCGAGGCUGAAUUCCUCUUAGAGGUCGUAGCCUCAAGGUCUCUGUUCCUGGAGGUAGUGAUGAGAGUUGGGUCCUGAGCGGCGGAAACCUGUAAACCCCGUCAGGUCCGGAAGGAAGCAGCGGUAAGUAGUGUUUUCUGGGUGACUUAGGUAAACCUGACUUGAGCUUCUUUUAGGUUCAUACCUUUGAGGUGAGAUCGAAGAGAGGUGCACGG
rnacentral:SRP_RNA from 1 species